ensembl:lncRNA
AUGAAGCUACUGGGAAGAUGGUCAUCCUCCGCAUUGGAAUGUCUGGCUAAUUAUCUCAAUUUAUCUCUUUCGUUCAUGUUCCAGGAUCCUCUAAGAAAUACUUCAUCUGAUACCGCCGCUGUCAUUUCCCUCCAUCCUCCUCCUCCCCACCACCACCAGGUUGGCCCUGUCCAUGCGGGGGGUAGGCUCCGCCCUGCCUUCGUCUUCGGCAGGAUUAGCUGGUAUCUACAAACUUCAGAUCCACGCUACGGAUGGGGCCUACGCCAAAAUAAUUAUAUUUUUUGUGUUGUAAAUAAAUACUUCAGUCUUAUCUCUACCUCCCUGAGUCUUUCUGGUAGAACUGAUAUUCUAAAUUGUAGCUCUUUCACAAUAUUAUUGCUUUUACUUUACUGUUGCAGCCUUGGUGAUAAUUGUCUUUCUGAUGAAUACUGAAAAUGUUCUUUAGAAAAAAGCAUAAAAUCUUUUGAAAAGUAAACAAUUGGAUGCAUUUUAUGGUAUGAUUUUGUUAGAAAAAACUGAAGGGCAGGUGAUACCAAACACCACUAACAUUUUAAACAGGUGUGAUUAUCUCUGUCUGAUAAAAUGCACUAUUCCUAUUUAUUCAUGUAUUCACGUUUGUUUAUAAUACUGUACAUAACCCUGAAAUGUACUGUAAUAUGUCAUUGAUAAAUGCAGUAAAACAUUUUGUUAGCUGCUGGAUAAUACCUAUUAUGCAUGAACAAAUGUUAACAAAUGGAACUUUAUUUUAAUAAACCAAUGUGCUAAGUGGCAUUGCCACAUGGGCAACGCUAUUGCAGUACAGUAUUCACAGGAGCUGAAGUCCAUUUAAAAUCCAUUUGUGAAAGACUGUAUGUGUAAACACCAUAACGCAGAUUUACUGUAGAAGUUGUGUUUUGUAAAUGACUUGACCCAGACCAUUUAUGUCCAUAUUUUUAUGAAUAGCACUAUUGUUCUUUGCAUAGUGUAUAUAGGUUAUAUUUAAAGUGAUAGUUUACUCAUAAAUACAAAUAUUGGGGUGAAAGAUUAACUCAGUGAUUUUUAGUUUAGCUAGCAUAGCCUGUGAUCGUAGCCAUCAGCCACAGCUAGUAAUGCUAGGCCUAAUGAACCAAUAAGACAAAGGAAUAAGGAGAAAAUGAGAUUUACACUACAACACAUACUAUUUUGAACUGCUUAUUCAGGCUACACUCGCAGCUCUAAAUUACAGGCAUCCAUGCAAAAACACAU